GGCCGUGUGGUCUAGUAGUAUGAUACCCGCUUUGGGUGCGGGUGGUCCAGGGUUCAAUUCCCUGCUCGGCCC
rnacentral:tRNA from 1 species